GGCCCAGUGGUGUAGUGGUAACACGCUCCGGUUUCCCCGGAGUAUGGUAGGUUCGAAUCCUGCCUGGGCUG